AUUGAACGCUAGCGGGAGGCUUUACACAUGCAAGUCGAGCGAGUGGCGGACGGGUGAGUAAUAUAUCGGGACCUGCCCAGUAGCGGGGGAUAACUACUGGAAAGAGUAGCUAAUACCGCAUACUAUCAGAUCGGCCGAUAUGGGAUUAGCUUGUUGGUGGGGUAAAGGCUCACCAAGGCGACGAUCCCUAGCUGGUUUGAGAGGAUGACCAGCCACACUGGGACUGAGACACGGCCCAGACUCCUACGGGAGGCAGCAGUGGGGAAUUUUGGACAAUGGGCGCAACCCUGAUCCAGCCAUGCCGCGUGUAUGAGAAGGCCUUCGGGUUGUAAAGUACUUUUGGCAGAGAAGCGGUAUCUGCAGAAUAAGCACCGGCUAACUACGUGCCAGCAGCCGCGGUAAUAC
rnacentral:rRNA from 1 species